GAUCCGGCUCAGGACGAACGCUGGCGGCGCGCCUAACACAUGCAAGUCGAACGAGCGAGAGAGAGCUUGCUUUCUCAAGCGAGUGGCGAACGGGUGAGUAACGCGUGAGGAACCUGCCUCAAAGAGGGGGACAACAGUUGGAAACGACUGCUAAUACCGCAUAAGCCCACGACCCGGCAUCGGGUAGAGGGAAAAGGAGCAAUCCGCUUUGAGAUGGCCUCGCGUCCGAUUAGCUAGUUGGUGAGG
rnacentral:rRNA from 1 species